UCUUACCAUAUGUACUUAUUGAGAGUCAAGUAGGUUUGGGCCUGGCUGGUACUCAGAUGGGUGAAUGCCUCGGAAUACCAGGUACUGCAAGCU
rnacentral:rRNA from 12 species